UACGAAGGGGGCUAGCGUUGCUCGGAAUUACUGGGCGUAAAGCGUGCGCAGGCGGUUUUGUAAGCCAGAUGUGAAAUCCCCGGGCUCAACCUGGGAAUGGCAUUUGGGACUGCAAGGCUGGAGUGCGGCAGAGGAGACUGGAAUUCCUGGUGUAGCAGUGAAAUGCGUAGAUAUCAGGAGGAAUACCGAUGGCGAAGGCAGGUCUCUGGGCUGACACUGACGCUCAUGCACGAAAGCGUGGGGAGCAAACAGG
rnacentral:rRNA from 1 species